UACAGAGGUCCCGAGCGUUGUUCGGAUUCAUUGGGCGUAAAGGGUGCGUAGGCGGCGGGGCAAGUCUGAUGUGAAAUCCCGGGGCUCAACCCCUGAACUGCAUUGGAUACUGCCUUGCUUGAGUACUGGAGAGGAGACUGGAAUUUACGGUGUAGCAGUGAAAUGCGUAGAUAUCGUAAGGAAGGCCAGUGGCGAAGGCGAGUCUCUGGACAGUUACUGACGCUGAGGCACGAAGGCCAGGGGAGCAAACGGG
rnacentral:rRNA from 1 species